rnacentral:rRNA from 1 species
GUAGGUGGCAAGCGUUGUCCGGAAUUAUUGGGCGUAAAGCGCGCGCAGGCGGUUCUUUAAGUCUGAUGUGAAAGCCCACGGCUCAACCGUGGGGGGUCAUUGGAAACUGGAGAACUUGAGUACAGAAGAGGAAAGCGGAAUUCCACGUGUAGCGGUGAAAUGCGUAGAGAUGUGGAGGAACACCAGUGGCGAAGGCGGCUUUCUGGUCUGUAACUGACGCUGAGGCGCGAAAGCGUGGGGAGCAAACAGGGAUUAGAUACCCUGGUAGUCCACGCCGUAAACGAUGAGUGCUAAGUGUUAGGGGGUUUCCCGCCCCUUAGUGCUGCAGCUAACGCAUUAAGCACUCCGCCUGGGGAGUACGGCCGCAAGGCUG